rnacentral:lncRNA from 1 species
AUGUGUGUGUGUUUUGUGUGUGUGUGUGGAGAGUAUGUAUGUGUGGAGUGUGUAAGUGUGUCGGAUGUGGGUACACGCAUGGAGGGAGCAGCCAGGAACACGUUGAGGAGUGGGUGCACCCCAUGGCAACAGACCCGGGAGCUCUGCCCGCAGCAUGAGCCUCCAAGGAGACCAAGGCAAAGGAAGCCAGCACCUUCCCACCCCACUCACGGGGGACUUGCCGAGGGGCCCUUCCCACCCCGACUGCUGCCGUCUCUGCAGAGCUCUCCUUCCGGGUGUGGAUGUGCGGCGGGAGCUUGGAGAUCGUGCCCUGCAGCCGCGUGGGCCACGUCUUCAGGAAGCGGCACCCCUACAACUUCCCUGAGGGCAACGCCCUCACCUACAUCAGGAAUACCAAGCGCACUGCAGAGGUGUGGAUGGAUGAAUACAAGCAGUAUUACUACGAGGCCCGGCCCUCAGCCAUCGGGAAGGCCUUCGGCAGCGUGGCCACGCGGAUCGAGCAGAGGAAGAAGAUGAACUGCAAGACCUUCCGCUGGUACCUGGAAAAUGUCUACCCGGAGCUCACGUGAGUGCAGCCCUCAGCCUGUGUGUCCAGCCUGGGUAAGGGUUGGCGGCCUGGGGGCCUUUCAGCCUGCUGUCUCCCCAGCCUGGGCAGCCUGUCUCUUCCUAGCUGCUGGUGUUUGUCUUCGUGUGAAGGGUCGGGAGGAACCAGGAGGAUGUUACCAGAAAUUAAAAGUGAGGUGUGACGGGGGCCGAAGUUUAACACACUGGGCUUUCGAGCUAGAAAUGGGCACUGUCCCCUUAAGAAACCAACCACGCCCUGUGGAGCCAAGGCUGCAGAAAGAGUCGUUUACUCCGACUCUCUCCUCUCCCUUCCGGGAGUUUAUCCUAAGGAAAUAAAGCAACCAAAGCAGAAAAAAUAAAAUAAAAU